rnacentral:lncRNA from 1 species
GGACCACAUCACGAAUACUUAGAAAAGGUUGCCAGAAACAGAAACAGAAACAGAAAGAUGCCAUGGGGGGGUGGCAAAGGGUUGUGGCAAGUGUGGCAAAGAAAUCAUGGGAUACGCGGAAGAUGAAUUUUUAAUUUGUUGCUGCUGCCUCCCGUUUUAAUUGUUGUUGACAGACGACUGACUGGCUGGAGAUCGGGUAUUCAGAGCAAGGACUCAGCUUCAGCUUCAGCUUCAGCUUCAGAACUGACUGACGGCGCAAUUUGCAAUCCUUUUUCUUUUGCCUGAGCUUAGAGACUACUUUCUGAAAGGGGAGUGAUGGAAAUUUUAAUUAAAGAAAUUGCGGUUAAUCCCGUUAGAAGACAGCUAACCAAAAAAAAAAAUGAAAUGCUUCACGAGGUUGCUUCAGAUGCGCCCUCGGGGGGUCAGCACUUUCGUGUGGCAACAACACAACCGAAAUUGGCUGCCAAUUGUGGAAGAGUUCCAAGGGAAGAAGAGUUGAAGAGUUUAUGCUACGCAUGAAUAUGAUGUAAUUGUUCCGGUUCGACAUGGCAACGUGCCACAUCAAAAGGUGGAACGAUAUUCACACAAACACCUUGAGCCACCGCAGCCCCCGCAGCCCCCGCAGCCCCCGCAGCCGCCCACCAACCGCCCGGCCACCUGGUAACGUUUUCAUUUUAACUUGAAUUUUCAGGCUUCUAAUGGAAUUAUCCAAGGGGAAUGGGCUCCAAGAAUGGGGUGCGGGCUACGCUCAUACUUGGAUUUGUCAAAGGAUUUUGAGUAAUUUAAUUGUAUGCCAUUUGCACAUCAAUUUGCAUUCAAAAUUUCAAAUUCACAACAUUGUCGAGAGGACAUGCAGAGCGCCAAAGCUUGAGUACAGUGC